rnacentral:rRNA from 1 species
AUUGAACGCUGGCGGCAGGCCUAACACAUGCAAGUCGAGCGGAGCGGCGGACGAGUGAGUAAUGCCGAGGAAUCUGCCUGGUGGUAGGGGAUAACGUCCGGGAACGGGCGCUAAUACCGCAUACGAUCAGAGCAGCCUAGGGCGUAGUAGCUAGUUGGUGGGGUAAAGGCCUACCAAGGCGACGAUCCGUAACUGGGCUGAGAGGAUGAUCAGUCACACUGGAACUGAGACACGGUCCAUACUCCUACGGGAGGCAGCAGUGGGGAAUAUUGGACAAUGGGCGAAAGCCUGAUCCAGCCAUGCCGCGUGUGUGAAGAAGGUCUUCGGAUUGUAAAGCACUUUAAGUUGGGAGGCGUUACCAACAGAAUAAGCACCGGCUAACUUCGUGCCAGCAGCCGCGGUAAUAC